rnacentral:rRNA from 1 species
AACGUAGGUGGCGAGCGUUAUCCGGAUUUACUGGGCGUAAAGCGUGUGCAGGCGGGGAACCAAGUGGUGUAUGAAAUUUCCCGGCUUAACCGGGAAGGGUUAUGCAAGACUGGUUUUCUGGAGUGCGAGAGAGGGGCGUGGAAUUCCGGGUGUAGUGGUGAAAUGCGUAGAGAUCCGGAGGAACCCCAGAGGCGAAGGCGGCGCCCUGGCUCGCAACUGACGCUCAGACACGACAGCAUGGGGAGCGAACGGG